GGGGCCUGAUUUACUAUGCCAAAAGAAAAAAAAACUUAAGCUGAAAGCUGAGUCAUGCAAGAAGCUGCCUUUCCUGUUGUUCCUAAACCGAUAGCUACAGACAAAAGGUUGAACAUCUCCACAGCAUGUGGACUAUCACACACUCCCUCUUUCCCCUCCAGCCACUUUUCGCCUUUAAAUACUGAAGCCCUCAAAGUCAUCUUUGAAGAAAGGCACAGACCACAGACUUCCUGUGAUUCCACGUUUAUUUGUUCCAGAAAAAUGGAGGUCUUUGAUUGCAUUGCUACUGGUGUGGAGAUAAAAACCACUGUUCACAUCCAACCAUUUUUUUUUUUGUAAACUGGACAUAAUUGGAGACACUGGUGAUUUCAUCAAGACUUUGAUUGUAAUGACAUUUUCAGAUGGCCUUGAGAAAAUGAGGCUGACCUAUAAAGCCAAUAAAAGCGCCUUGGAAAACCUGGGAUCAUACAUUUUUAUUUGCAGCGUACUGACUUGGGAUAAGUAAAGAAUGUCACUUUCUGACAGGCCCAGGAAACUCAGGUUUUCUUGGGACCUUGAAAAAAGAGUAAUUCACCCAAUUCACACAGGUAUCUGCAGGCACAGUAAAUUCUUAGCUGGGCUCAAGGCUUUUAAAAAGUUCAAAUCUUAGAUUCCUUAUGAAAAGCUUCCAGCAAAGCCAAUUUUAUAAAGAGAAAGAGAGAGCCUGCAUGGCAAAUGAUUAUUCUUGCUGAACUUUAUGCAAAUAAUCAAGCCAAGUAAAUAGAACUAAAACUUAUUUGAAACAUAAAUUGGUCCUACUAUGAUUUUGUCUUUAAUAAAAUUUGAAAAUUGGAGACAGAAAAAU
rnacentral:lncRNA from 1 species